UGCAACUGAUGGAUGAAUGAAAGACCAGAAAUGUAGCUACUGUCCAACACAUAAUGAACGCUGAAUGACUCUGCUGAUCUCAUAAGCCAACAUAUCCAACAGUUUUUGAAGAUACUUGCCAAGACGAUUCAUUUCGGUGUUCAAGGGCUGUGAGACACGGCUCUCUAUGUGUGCACAGAAGACAACGCGCAG